AUUGAACGCUGGCGGCAGGCCUAACACAUGCAAGUCGAGCGGAUGAAGGGAGCUUGCUCCUGGAUUCAGCGGCGGACGGGUGAGUAAUGCCUAGGAAUCUGCCUGGUAGUGGGGGAUAACGUCCGGAAACGGGCGCUAAUACCGCAUACGUCCUGAGGGAGAAAGUGGGGGAUCUUCGGACCUCACGCUAUCAGAUGAGCCUAGGUCGGAUUAGCUAGUUGGUGGGGUAAAGGCCUACCAAGGCGACGAUCCGUAACUGGUCUGAGAGGAUGAUCAGUCACACUGGAACUGAGACACGGUCCAGACUCCUACGGUAGGCAGCGGUGGAGAAUAUUAGACGAGGGGCGAGAGGCUGAUCCAGCCAUGCCGCGUGUGUGAAGAAGGUCUUCGGAUUGUAAAGCACUUUAAGUUGGGAGGAAGGACAGUAAGUUAAUACCUUGCUGUUUUGACGUUACCAACAGAAUAAGCACCGGCUAACUUCGUG
rnacentral:rRNA from 1 species